CUACCCAGUGAGCAAGAGGACUUUGCAUUGCUCUAGUUGCCAGCAGGGGGCAUGUUGCCACUACAAUGUGAGCAAGAGGGCCCUGCAGUGGUCCGCCACCAGGAGAGGGCACCCAAGCCUGCCUUUUCAGAUUCCUGAGACUCCGCUGAUGUGCAUCGCGUCACAGCACCGCCCUUUGUCACGUCACAGCGUCUGUUCUCCUUAGUAUUGACCUGGGGGGCACUUCGAGGGUGGAGCUGCGUCCUCUUCAGCACAGACCCUGGGGCUUGGGUCUUACUGUGAGAGGGCCUUGCAGUGGCGGUAGUUGCCAGAAGAGGGCGGGGGCACAUCACCGGGAGCAAGAGGGCCCUGCACUGCCGGGCCGCCAGCAGGGGGCGCCCGAGCCAGCCUUUUCAGAUGGCGUCACGGUACCGGCGUGCAUUGCGUCUCGGCGGUCUGCCGUUUCAUUGUCCUCAUUGCAGACCUACGGGCCACUGCGAGGGCAGAGCUGUGUUCUCCACAGCAUAGACCUAGCGGGCACAGCCUCACUUUGGGACAACUCUGGGCCACGUCUGCAGCUUUAACCAUUUAAAAUACACUCAAGCAUCUCCUAAUGAUGUGAAUUCUGAGAAAUUUGUCCUUGGUGAUUUCAUCCUUGUCCGAACACCAUAGAGUGUCCUUUUAAAUCCUAGGUGGUGUAGCCCACUCCACACAUAAGUCAUAUGGUAUAGCCUAUUGCUCCCAUGCUACAAACCUGUAUAGCAUGUCUCUGUACUGAAUGCUGUAGUCAACUGUCACACCAUGGUGACUGUGGAUUGUGAUCCCAAAAUAUCUGAGUCAGGUCUCAGUCAAUUUAGAAUGCUUAUUUUGCCAAGGUUAAGGACAUGCCCGUGACACAGCCUCAGGAGGUCCUGACAACAUGGGCCUGAAGUGGUCAGGGUGGAGCUUGCUUUUAUACAUUUUACAGAGACAGGAGACACCAAUCAAUAUGCGUAAGAUGUACAGUCGUUUGGUUCAGUAAGGUGGAACAACUGGAAGUAGGAAGUGGGGGUGCUUCUAGGUCAGAAGUAGAUAAAA